GAUAAACGCUGGCGGCGUGCAUAACACAUUCAAGUCGAACGGAGUUAAGUUGAUUAAUCCUUCGGGAAGCGUUGGCUUAACUUAGUGGCGGACGGGUGAGUAAUGCAUGAGUAACCUGCCUUUCAGAGUGGAAUAACGUUGGGAAACUGACGCUAAUACCGCAUACCACAUAGAGGUGGCAUCACUUUUAUGUGAAAGGAGCAAUCCGCUGAAAGAUGGGCUCAUGUCUGAUUAGAUAGUUGGUGAGGUAACGGCUCACCAAGUCUACGAUCGGUAGCCGGACUGAGAGGUUGAACGGCCACAUUGGAACUGAGAAACGGUCCAGACUCCUACGGGAGGCAGCAGUGGGGAAUAUUGGGCAAUGGGCGAAAGCCUGACCCAGCGACGCCGCGUGAAGGAAGAAGGUCUUCGGAUUGUAAACUUCUGUCAACAGGGACGAAGCAUGACGGUACCUGAUGAGGAAGCCACGGCUAACUACGUG
rnacentral:rRNA from 1 species